UACAGAGGUCUCAAGCGUUGUUCGGAUUCACUGGGCGUAAAGGGUGCGUAGGUGGCGAGGAAAGUCGGAUGUGAAAGCUCGGAGCUCAACUCCGAAAUGGCAUUGGAAACUACCUUGCUCGAGGGUUGGAGGGGGGACUGGAAUUCUCGGUGUAGCAGUGAAAUGCGUAGAUAUCGAGAGGAACACCAGUGGCGAAGGCGAGUCCCUGGACAACUCCUGACACUGAGGCACGAAAGCUAGGGGAGCAAACAGG
rnacentral:rRNA from 1 species